rnacentral:SRP_RNA from 1 species
GCCGGGUGUGGUGGCUCACACCUGUAAUCCCCGCACUUUGGGAGGCUGAGGCGGGUGGAUCACCUGAGGCCAGGAGUUCGAAACCAGCCUGGCCAAUAUGGUGAAACCCUGUCUCUA